UGUAAGCGUAUACCAAAGUUGUUGCAGUUAAAACGCUCGUAGUCGGAAUUUGGCAGUUCCGGAUGUGUGCACGUCGUGUGCGCACUUCGCGGGGAUUGCUUUUGUGGUCUUGCGUAGGAUGAGGCACUUUUAUUAGUGAACGUCCUCACGCAACCGCUUUUUACUGUGAGAAAAUCAGAGUGCUCAAAGCAGGCAUUUGCCGUGAAUGUAUUAGCAUGGAAUAAUAGAAUAGGACUUGGUUCUAUUUUGUUGGUUUGUUGGGACUGAGUAAUGAUUAAGAGGGACAGUUGGGGGCAUUUGUAUUUCGGUGCUAGAGGUGAAAUUCUUAGAUUACCGAAAGACAAACUGCUGCGAAAGCGCCUGCCAAGGAUGUUUUCAUUGA
rnacentral:rRNA from 1 species